UACGAAGGGGGCUAGCGUUGCUCGGAAUCACUGGGCGUAAAGGGUGCGUAGGCGGGUCUUUUAAGUCAGGGGUGAAAUCCUGGGAGCUCAACUCCAGAACUGCCUUUGAUACUGAGGAUCUUGAGUUCGGGAGAGGUGAGUGGAACUGCGAGUGUAGAGGUGAAAUUCGUAGAUAUUCGCAAGAACACCAGUGGCGAAGGCGGCUCACUGGCCCGAGUACUGACGCUGAGGCACGAAAGCGUGGGGAGCAAACAGGG
rnacentral:rRNA from 1 species